AUGCGAUACUUGGUGUGAAUUGCAGAAUCUCGUGAACCACUGAGUCUUUGAACGCAAGUUGUGCCCGAGGCCUUGUGGUUGAGGGCACGCCUGCUUGGGCGUCAUGGCAUCGUCGCUUUUUCUCCAUGCUUUGCUGGUGGGGAGUGCGGAUAUUGGCCCCGUGUGCCCUCGGGCACAGUCGGUUGAAGAGUGGGAAGUCGGCAGUGGUCGGGCACGAUGGGUGUUGGUCGCCGUGAGCGGGAACUAAACGUCGUCCCUGUCAUGUCGGGAUGAGUCCUCAAGAGACCCUGUGUGAUUGCGGCGUCGGGUGAAAGUGCCGUGUCCAUCAAAUUGUGGCCCCAAGUCAGGCGAGGCCACCCGCCGAAUUUAAGCAUAUCAAUAAG
rnacentral:rRNA from 1 species